AUUUAUUCAAUAAUAAAUAGUCAAAUAUAAAAUUAUGUCCUAGAAUUAACAAUGUGUCAGCCAGAUUGACUUCUAGGGCAUACAUCUAAUAUACACAACCCAUUGAAGCCAUGGACCCCAAUCUUAAGACCAUCCUAAGGACUAUAACUGAGCAGUUCAAGCAAUUGAACAAUAGGUUUGAUCAAGUUGAGGAGAGGCUAGGAACCCUAGAGGAAAAUCAACAGACCCACGUGGGACCUGAACUACCUAAAUUGACACCCCAACCCCAUC
rnacentral:lncRNA from 1 species